rnacentral:lncRNA from 1 species
AUUGGGAUAAGAUAGAGCAAGUUUAUAAAUACUUUACACAAAGGGAAGGAUCCGCAACGUGGAAAUGUUGGCGGAGUUGAAGAAUCAUACAAAAAUGACGAAACUUGAAAGUUUCAAUUACUGCAUUACUUUUUGGACCUACUGUAUUAGACUUACGUCACCAUAAUAUGAAAUAAAGAUGAUAAAAUACA